AAUGCCUGUUCCUCCAUUCCAUACAUUCCUCAACAGGAAAUUCUCUUACAAGCUAAAAGCUGAGAAUUCUUUUUCAACCUGUCCUGAAGAGAGUGGUUUAGAAAUCAGACUCUCCAGUGAGAUGUUCUGGGUGAACAGAGAACGUUGUUACCAGCUAUUUGUGUGACUUUGGAGAAUCCCUGGUGGGAGAAUGAGUGUCAGCAUUUCAGCAUCGAUACCACAUGCCAAACUCCAACAGUAGGAGAGAAGGGAAACGAUCAAUGACUCUUGUGCUCCUGGAAACCACCUUCUGGUUGGGCUCACAGAUUAAUAUUUUCUGAUGUUGAUAUUCUGCACAGUUUUUUAUGACCAGCAAGGACAUAAUACAGCUACUGGCUGCAAUACCAGCUCACAGCUCUCAGCUGUUAAGAAUCUUGUCAUUUGGCUAAACAUAUGACGUAGAUUACUAAAACAAGAGAGAAUAGAGCAUCCUGGUGUGACACAUCCAUCAUCACAUAGUGUCAGAUGGGCCAUCUGAAUGAAAGAACUCUCAGCAUGACAGGGACCUCCAACCAUGAAAGGUAUGUUGAGAUUUGUGUUAGCUUCUGCUCUGAUGCUAAAGAGGUUUAUUAUGGCCAAGAAAAUAGAGAUGUCCUUUCCACUUCACACAGGAGCUGUUGUUUGUGUAUUAGCAUGAGAAGACCUCUUUCUGUGCUUUAUGCUGAUUUAUUUGAACCUUGAGGGACAUUGCAUGCCAAAGUGAUUCUUGAAGGGGUAUAUCUAGAGUGAGAAACAAGGCCUCUACAACCCAAGCAGGAGGAAAAACGACAGAUAACUGGAGUUACAGCUCUCUGACAAAGCACUUUGCCAAUCUCAGGGCAACAAACACAGCAGAGAUGUUGGUUAAUUAAAUUAUAACACCUUGUGGCCUGGAGAAAGUGCAUGAAGCUUGGCGAAGUGAAGUAAUUAUGUAAAGCAGCCAAGAAGAAAACCCAGAUCCUAAGGCUUAUAGGAUAUAUUCAAACUGUGUGGUUGAGUAAUUUCUUGUAGGUCAU